GUGUCUACUGAAAGGACUGUUAGCACUCCCCUUGACAAGGAUGGAACACAUAAUAUGGUUAAGGCACAACUUAACCACAUUUUUUU